GUAAUGGCAGACAUCUAUAAGAUGUUGUUGCAGUGUGAUCAGUCAUCUUAAUCACACCGCUCUGUCUCUUGUCCCAAAUGGACUGGGGCUGACUGACAGAGGAAGAGGAAAUACAGCUUGGACGUAUGAAUCAUCCUUUUUUUUCCCAACAAAGGGGAAAGUCACUGACACAGCAUUAGUGCCAUAAGCUACUGAGCUGGUGAGCUGAAUCACAGAAUCAUCUAGGUCUCGAUGUCAUGUAGCAAAAUCCUAGCAUGUGCUCCAGACCAGCCACAUGUGUUUGAAUUAUGGGGACCCUCUCACCACCAUUAUUUAGUAAUAUGUUUUUAUGGCUAAUAUUAGUUUUGAAGAGUGACAUUAUUGAAUAUAUUCUGAAGACCUCUGAGAGUACUUUGAAGAUGCUGGGAUCAGCAGAAUCACUACUCCAAACUUUGCUGGUAUUUUCUUUGUAUUUAUAUAUUAUUUAUAUAAAUAAACAUUCGUAUUUAUAUUUAUAUAUGUAUAUAUAAUUUAUAUUAUUUAUAUAUUUAUUUUAUGUAUUUAUAUAUUAUUAAUAUUGCAUCUUGUAAUUCAUCAAAGGAUUUUUCAACUUGUGUGCCUUCGGACAUGCUUAUAGCCUACUGUUUUGGUAGCUAUGUGUAGGUAUCUUCUCCCUCACCCCAAUUAUACAUGUAGAUGCAGUUUAACAUGUGAGCAGGAACUGGGAGAGGGAAGAGUGAGAGUGAUGAGGUCUAGGCUAGGGACCACAGAGGUAGGUCUCAUGACUUAGGAGUGUUUAUACUUCUGCUAUUGACUCAUCAGGUGAGAAACAAAAUGUGUAAUUGUUAUUUUGCAGGGUCAGUGGAUUCUUGCAGGGUACCUCCUGUGGGAUUUUUUUUUACCAUUGUUUAGGAUUAAGAGUGAAUGUAUUCCAGCUUUAUCAUAUGACCACUGAAUGAAUGGCUUAGCGUUCAGAAAAUAUUUUAUAUCCUUAGCUAGAGGAUGUUUGUGCAUACUAUUUGAAUUCCUACAUGCUUGAAAAGAGUGUGAAAUAUACUGAAAUAUAAGCAAUGUAUUGGCAGUGCCAGAAUUCCCUGAAGCCAAGCACCAAGAAUCUAACUGUUUAGUGCCAAGCAGAAAAAAGACAUUUAACGAAGCAUUUAGGACUAACCUCACAGCCAUUUGUUAUGGAUGUCUUCUGUUUAACUACCUUGUCCUUGGGAUGCCAUGUACAAGGCUGUGGUGGAUUCUCAUACUCGAGCAUACUCUGGCAUCUGUAAGACUGGCUGCAUCAUGGCAGGACUCAGCAACAGCUCAAAGGUCCAAAAAACUUAAGGUCCCUCCCCUUAAAAUUCUUAAGGCAUUGAAAUCAUCACGUGGCGUGUAGUGAGACAUCAUGCCUAUACUGAACAGAUCAUAAUCUAAAAAAGUACAAGAAUAACCAGACACUCAGCACCUUACUGAUAGGAACCAGGUCUUUCAACUUCUUGCUGUAUCUGAUGAGUUUCUUUUCUGGUGUGGAUCAGCACACCAUUUACACCUAUAUAAUGUUUCCAUCAAUGCCAGAACCAGAUGCUGCUGAAGUGGGUGCUAGAGCUAUACUGUAAGGAGAUACAAGAGUAUCUGCCCACUGCUGACAUCUCUCCAGGAUAUCUAAUAUGGGUUGUUAGCACAUUGUCUUUCUCAGUAUUCCUCAGUUCCAAUUCUGGGCUCCACAGGGGACUGAGGGUAAAUCAGGCUGUCAGUGUGCAAUCAUCCACUUCCAGUUUUAACAUAUGGAUUUAGACAGGCAGACGAAUCUCCAUUUCAUCUCAUUAAAUGUGAUCCAGAUAGUGAUGUUGUAUUGGAGCUAACACAGCACAGCAGGGUGACCAUGAGUGGGAGUAAAGAGAGAUUAAAUGUAACGGAAGAGUCUAGGCUGCAUCAAAAACACCAGCAAGAUAGGUUCAAGGAAGAGAGUGGACUGAGUGCAAUGGCUCUAUUCCACACUGAGGCUUAACUGAAAUUCCUUUUUACAGCUUGCUGAGUAAUUUACUGUUCUGUUUUGUUAUUUGUGUGUAUUGUCCUUCGUGGAUGAGGUAAAUCAUGAACAUUCUUCUCCUGUAUAGCUUGUUUGUGAUCUUGAUAAUGUUUGUUUGUGACUUGAUAAUGUUUGAAGCUUGUUUGUGACUUGAUAAUGUUUGAAGCUCAGCACUUAGAUACAUUACCUUCAGCUCUGAAUGAUUUUGAAAUCUGGUGCCCUUUGCUGAAAGGCAGGUUGUAUCAACCACUGCUAGACCUGGGAAAAGGUCAGGGAGUUCUACCAUUUCAGAAAAACAAGACUGUAGAAAUGAACAAAUUUUCUUAGUCUGCAUUUAGUGAAGAAAGAUAAAUUUACAAGCUUCAGAAGAAAGUGGAACUCCACUGAAAGCAAGGAGGCUUCAGCUAAUUAUCUGUCUUCAGUAAAAUAAGUUCCCUCUUCUUUUUUACCACCAGAGCUUGGAGAUAAUUUGGUGGUGUCAUAUUGUUAAACAUACAGACUAACAAAGAAAAAACUAUGAAACCAAAAAGAUAGAUCAAGUGUUACAAAUUAGGUAUUCUGUACACCAAUUUGCUCAUUUAAUAAUAUGUUCCCUUUCAAAAGACUCAUGGUUCUUAGUUGAUAAGAAAUGUUCAUAAAACUCUUCCCAAAGCAACUUGUUUGACUAAUAAUAUAUACUGGGAUGUCAUUAUUAAAACACGUUAGUUGCAAAAAUCAUAGCGAUAGCUCGUUCACUUUAAGUGUACGGGGUAGUAAAUUAAUCUGAACAAAUUAAUCUUGGCACUGUUUGUUCUUCUGUGAAUAUGUAAGUAAACAAAGCUCAAAUUUAGAGGAGACCCUGUCUGAUUUAGGCAUUUUUAUUAGCUAUUUGUGAGAUAGGAAAAAAUAAUGAAAUCAAAUUCAUGCUACUGAAGUGUGUGGAACCAAAUCUGAUUGAGGCAUGGAUUUCUGUCUAGACGAAAAAGCUCCUUUUAUUCACAGAAAUAAGUCAAUGGCUAAAGACAAAACUGGGCUUCUCAAGAAUGAAUAAUUUACUAUUUUUCAGUAACUGGUAGACUUCACAGCAUAAAGAAAAAAACAUAUGGAGUGCAAACAAUUUUCUCAUGUAGACACAGUGUAAUCUUAUUUUCAUGAAUUUGUCUGGAAAUUAAUUCAGUCAUGCAAUUCUGCUAAAUUUGUAUGAAAGUGGUCUUGUCAAGGAAAAGAAGCAAGCUGUGGAACAUAAAACAGCAAUGUUCCUGGGAAAUACGUUGGUCUAUACAUGUAGAAAUGUUUAGGCAUUAGAGAUGAUAAGAUAGUGGCUUUAAAUUCGGUGUCCAGAUUCUGCUGUAUUAUGCUCAUGCAAGUCUGUAUCAUUAAAUUGAAUUGUUCUUCCCCUCUUCCCAACCCCCCUUUUUUUUAAUGGUGGAGUAUAAUUGAAACAAUAUUAUUUUUACCAACUUGGUUAGAAGCAGUUUAUAAAACUCUACAUUGUAAUACAGCUAUCCCAAACACUGGGACUAUGCAGGUCCAAUUUCGGACAGAGGCUUUUUGCUACUAAUUUAUGGCUGCUUCUUACUUGUGUUUCUC